rnacentral:misc_RNA from 1 species
AACUUUUGGCAACGGAUCACUUGGCUCUCGCAUCGAUGAAGAACGCAGCGAAAUGCGAUAAGUAAUGUGAAUUGCAGAAUUCAGCGAAUCAUCGAAUCUUUGAACGCACCUUGCGCUCCUUGGUAUUCUGAGGAGCAUGCCUGUUUGAGUGUCAUGAAAUUCUCAACUGCUUUAGCUUUUGUGGUUGAAGUAAAGUUGGAUUUGGAGGAAUAAUUGCUGGCGUAACCUUUUAAGGUUGCUUGUUAGCUCCUCUUAAAUGGAUGAACUUUCCAGUAGUGUAAAAGUAACACCAAUGUGAUAAUUAUCUACGUUGGAUGAACUUGUACAAGGAAAGAUGAAUCUGUCUUGGACCCCCUUGACGAAACAAAUGACAAAUUUGACCUCAAAUCAGGUAGGACUACCCGCUGAACUUAAGCAUAUCAAUAAGCGGAGGCU